rnacentral:rRNA from 1 species
AUUGAACGCUGGCGGCAUGCUUUACACAUGCAAGUCGAACGGUAACAGGUUAAGCUGACGAGUGGCGAACGGGUGAGUAAUGCAUCGGAACGUGCCCGGUCGUGGGGGAUAACGCAGCGAAAGCUGCGCUAAUACCGCAUACGAUCUGAGGAUGAAAGCGGGGGACCGUAAGGCCUCGCGCGAUCGGAGCGGCCGAUGUCAGAUUAGGUAGUUGGUGGGGUAAAGGCUCACCAAGCCAACGAUCUGUAGCUGGUCUGAGAGGACGACCAGCCACACUGGGACUGAGACACGGCCCAGACUCCUACGGGAGGCAGCAGUGGGGAAUUUUGGACAAUGGGCGAAAGCCUGAUCCAGCAAUGCCGCGUGCAGGAAGAAGGCCUUCGGGUUGUAAACUGCUUUUGUACGGAGCGAAAAGGUCUCCUCUAAUACAGGGGGCUCAUGACGGUACCGUAAGAAUAAGCACCGGCUAACUACGUGCCAGCCGCCGCAGUAA